GGUGGGCGGAUCACGAGGUCAGGAGUUCAAGACCAGCCUGACCAACAUGGUGAAAUCCCAUUUCUACUAAAAAUACAAAAAUUAGCCAGGCGCGUGGUGGUAGGUGCCUGUAGUCCCAGCUACUCGGGAGGCUGAGGCAGGAGAAUGGCAUGAACCCAGGAGGCAGAGCUUGCAGUGAGCCGAGAUCGCACCACUGCACUUCAGCCUGGGCAACAGAGCGAGACUCCAUCUCCAAAAAAAAAAGAAAAAACAAAACAACAUUCUAAAAUGUGUUACCCUUUUUUCCUGAUUUAGAAAUUUCAGAGUGAACCCAAUCAAAUCUUAUCUGUAGAGCAGUAGUUCUCAAACUAUGUGCACUAGAAUCAAUUGGGAAACUGUGAAAUCCUAAUGCCCAAGUUGUACCUCACACCAAUUAAGUCAGAAUAUAGUCUGGGCAAAGCCCAGGCCUAACUACUUUUUAAGGCUCCCAGGUGUUCCAUUAUGAAGCUAUGUUGAGAACACUGCCCUGUAUAUGGCUUCUACCCACUGUUGUAAUUCUAACUUCUGAGACCACCAAUCAAUUCUCUUCCUUCUUCCUGGAGCACUUGGGAACACUGAGGACAGCCAUCAUGUGCCUCUCUUUCCCCUCUAGUCUCUCUUCAGUGUGCAACAUCUCCAAUUCCUUUAGGCGCUCUUCUGGACUCUGAAUUAUGGUAAGGUGCUUGCCAGGACACGUGCACUCCAAAAGGCAUGACUCAUAAUAACCCCAAACUGCAAAUAUCCCAAAGUCCACCAACAGAAAAUGGACAAAUUGUGAUACAUUUGUAUGACUGAAUACUGCACAGCAAUGAAAACUACACCUAUGCCAAAUAUUGACAAAUUUCACAAUAACAUUGUGAAAUAUGAAAAGAAUACAUGAUUCCAUUUAUAUAAAGUUCAAAUGCAGACAAAAUUAAACGACACUGCUAGAAGUCAGAAUGGUGGUUACCUGUGGGAAGAAAGGAAGUAGCAGUGAUCGGGAGGAGUAUAAAGGAGGCUUUGAAGUGUUGACAAUGUUCCAAUUUCUUUACUGAAUGUGGUUAUUCAUGUUUGCUUUGUGUUAAUGAACUGUAUACAUACUUGUUUGGGGUAUUUUCCUAUAUGUAUGAUAUACUUCAUAAUUUAAAAAAAAAUUUAAAAUAUGAGGUCCAAGAUAAAAGAUAUGAAAAUCCAUUUUAAUCAUUCAAAUCUCCAUGUACAGGAUGGUUGUUGCUGUUACCCAACUCUUUCACUCCUCUCUCAGCUCUGGAAUCAAAAUUGUUUGGGUUCAGUCUCAGCUCUACCAUUUAGUAGCUGAGGACCUUGUGCAAAUCUGUCUUAUUUCCUCAAGUAUAAAAUGAGAACACUGUCAUUUUAGAACACUUCCUCCAGUUUUCACUCAGAUAGUUGGUACCUAUCAUAUGUGACAUAUUCAUAUGAUGGAUAUGAUAGUAUAGAUACCUACUGAGUGACUGAAAACUGGAGGAAGUUAAGAAAUAUAAAGUGCUGGCCGGGCGCGGUGGCUCAAGCCUGUAAUCCCAGUACUUUGGGAGGCCGAGGCGGGUGGAUCACGAAGUCAGGAGAUCGAGACCAUCCUGGCUAACAUGGUGAAACCCCGUCUCUACUAAAAAUACAAAAAAAAAACUAGCCGGGCGUGGUGGCGGGCGCCUGUAGUCCCAGCUACUUGGAGGCUGAGGCAGGAGAAUGGCAUAAACCCGGGAGGCGGAGCUUGCAGUGAGCCGAGAUCGCGCCACUGCACUCCAGCCUGGGUGACACAGCGAGACUCCGUCUCAAAAAAAAAAAAAAA
rnacentral:lncRNA from 1 species